rnacentral:rRNA from 1 species
AACGAACGCUAGCGGCAGGCCUAACACAUGCAAGUCGAGCGAAGCCUUCGGGCUUAGCGGCGGACGGGUGAGUAACGCGUGGGAACGUGCCCUUUGGUACGGAAUAGCCCCGGGAAACUGGGAGUAAUACCGUAUGUGGUCGAGAGACGAAAGAUUUAUCGCCAAAGGAUCGGCCCGCGUUGGAUUAGGUAGUUGGUGGGGUAAUGGCCUACCAAGCCGACGAUCCAUAGCUGGUUUGAGAGGAUGAUCAGCCACACUGGGACUUAGACACGGCCCAGAAUCCUACGGGAUGCAGCAGUGGGGAAUCUUAGACAAUGGGGGAAACCCUGAUCUAGCCAUGCCGCGUGAUCGAUGAAGGCCUUAGGGUUGUAAAGAUCUUUCAGUGGGGAAGAUAAUGACUGUACCCACAGAAGAAGCCCCGGCUAACUCCGUGCCAGCCGCCGCAGUAACAC